AAUUAAAUAGCUUUCCAGUAAGCAUAUGUUUUGAAAGCAUAAGUCAGAAGUUAAACUCUUCUAUUAAUUU
rnacentral:tRNA from 1 species